rfam:Parcubacteria bacterium C7867-005 C7867_00008, whole genome shotgun sequence.
GGAAGAGUGGCUGAGUGGUUGAAGGCACCGGUUUCGAAAACCGGCAGGCUCGUAAGGGUCUCGAGAGUUCAAAUCUCUCCUCUUCCG